rnacentral:rRNA from 1 species
CCGGCAUAACCCCGGGUAAACUGGGGAUAAUUCCGGAUAACGCACAUAUGCUGGAAUGCUUUAUGCGUAAAAUGGAUUCGUCUGCCCAAGGAUGGGUCUGCGGCCUAUCAGGUAGUANUGGGUGUAAUGUACCUACUAGCCUACAACGGGUACGGGUUGUGAGAGCAAGAGCCCGGAGAUGGAUUCUGAGACAUGAAUCCAGGCCCUACGGGGCGCAGCAGGCGCGAAAACUUUACAAUGCGGGAAACCGUGAUAAGGGGACACCGAGUGCCAGCAUCAUAUGCUGGCUGUCCAGGUGUGUAAAAUACACCUGUUAGCAAGGGCCGGGCAAGACCGGUGCCAGCCGCCGCGGUAACACCGGCGGCCCGAGUGGUGAUCGUGAUUAUUGGGUCUAAAGGGUCCGUAGCCGGUUUGGUCAGUCCUCCGGGAAAUCUGACGGCUCAACCGUUAGGCUUUCGGGGGAUACUGCCAGGCUUGGAACCGGGAGAGGUAAGAGGUACUACAGGGGUAGGAGUGAAAUCUUGUAAUCCCUGUGGGACCACCCGUGGCGAAGGCGUCUUACCAGAACGGGUUCGACGGUGAGGGACGAAAGCUGGGGGCACGAACCGGAUUAGAUACCCGGGUAGUCCCAGCCGUAAACGAUGUGGACUUGGUGUUGGAAUGGCUUCGAGCUGCUCCAGUGCCGAAGGGAAGCUGUUAAGUCCACCGCCUGGGAAGUACGGUCGCAAGACUGA